GACGAACGCUGGCGGCGUGCUUAACACAUGCAAGUCGAACGGAAAGGCCCUGCUUUUGUGGGGUGCUCGAGUGGCGAACGGGUGAGUAACACGUGAGUAACCUGCCCUUGACUUUGGGAUAACUUCAGGAAACUGGGGCUAAUACCGGAUAGGAGCUCCUGCUGCAUGGUGGGGGUUGGAAAGUUUCGGCGGUUGGGGAUGGACUCGCGGCUUAUCAGCUUGUUGGUGGGGUAGUGGCUUACCAAGGCUUUGACGGGUAGCCGGCCUGAGAGGGUGACCGGCCACAUUGGGACUGAGAUACGGCCCAGACUCCUACGGGAGGCGGCAGUGGGGAAUAUUGCACAAUGGGAGGAAGCCUGAUGCAGCAACGCCGCGUGCGGGAUGACGGCCUUCGGGUUGUAAACAGCGUUCGCCUGUGACGAAGCGUGAGUGACGGUAAUGGGUAAAGAAGCACCGGCUAACUACGUG
rnacentral:rRNA from 1 species